rnacentral:rRNA from 1 species
AACAGGCUUAUCUCCCCCAAGAGUCCACAUCGACGGGGAGGUUUGGCACCUCGAUGUCGGCUCAUCACAUCCUGGGGCUGUAGUAGGUCCCAAGGGUUGGGCUGUUCGCCCAUUAAAGUGGUACGCGGGCUGGGUUCAGAACGUCGUGAGACAGUUCGGUCCCUAUCCGUCGCAGGCGUAGGAAAUUUGAGAAGACCUGUCCUUAGUACGAGAGGACCGGGAUGGACGUACCUCUGGUGUACCAGUUGUCCUGCC